GUGGGGAAUCUUGCGCAAUGGGCGAAAGCCUGACGCAGCCAUGCCGCGUGGAUGAUGAAGGUCUUAGGAUUGUAAAAUCCUUUCACCGGUGAAGAUAAUGACUGUAGCCGGAGAAGAAGCCCCGGCUAACUUCGUGCCAGCAGCCGCGGUAAUACGAAGGGGGCUAGCGUUGCUCGGAAUUACUGGGCGUAAAGGGAGCGUAGGCGGACAUUUAAGUCAGGGGUGAAAUCCCGAGGCUCAACCUCGGAACUGCCUUUGAUACUGGCUGUCUUGAGUACGGGAGAGGUGAGUGGAACUCCGAGUGUAGAGGUGAAAUUCGUAGAUAUUCGGAAGAACACCAGUGGCGAAGGCGACUCACUGGCCCGUUACUGACGCUGAGGCGCGAAAGCGUGGGGAGCAAACAGGAUUAGAAACCCUUGUAGUCC
rnacentral:rRNA from 1 species